UACAAAUAUAUGAUAUUAUUUUAUUUGAUUUUAAAUGUAUAGUAAACUGCGAGUUGUAUAUGUUUUGUCGAUAUUAUUUAGAUUGUUUAGUGUUUAAAAUUAUACACUUGUAUUUUGAUUGUUAAUUUUAGAGUUUCACCUUUAGUAUACCAUCUUGUAUUAAUAUCGAUCUAAACCUGUCAAUUCUAGGAUUUUCCAGCUUGUAUUAAAAAUUGAAU
rnacentral:sRNA from 1 species